rnacentral:rRNA from 1 species
UGGGGAAUAUUGGGCAAUGGGCGAAAGCCUGACCCAGCAAUGCCGCGUGAAUGAAGAAGGUCUUAGGAUUGUAAAAUUCUGUCCUAUGGGAAGAAACAAAUGACGGUACCAUAGGAGGAAGCCCCGGCUAACUACGUGCCAGCAGCCGCGGUAAUACGUAGGGGGCGAGCGUUGUCCGGAAUUACUGGGCGUAAAGAGAGCGUAGGCGGCACUACAAGUCUCAUGUGAAAUACCCGGGCUUAACUUGGGGGUUGCAUGGGAAACUGUAGAGCUUGAGUACAGGAGAGGCAAGCGGAAUUCCUAGUGUAGCGGUGAAAUGCAUAGAUAUUAGGAGGAACACCAGUGGCGAAGGCGGCUUGCUGGACUGAAACUGACGCUGAGGCUCGAAAGCGUGGGGAGCAAACAGG